rnacentral:rRNA from 1 species
CUUCUUUGCUGACGAGUGGCGGACGGGUGAGUAAUGUCUGGGAAACUGCCUGAUGGAGGGGGAUAACUACUGGAAACGGUAGCUAAUACCGCAUAACGUCGCAAGACCAAAGAGGGGGACCUUCGGGCCUCUUGCCAUCGGAUGUGCCCAGAUGGGAUUAGCUAGUAGCUGGGGUAACGGCUCACCUAGGCGACGAUCCCUAGCUGGUCUGAGAGGAUGACCAGCCACACUGGAACUGAGACACGGUCCAGACUCCUACGGGAGGCAGCAGUGGGGAAUAUUGCACAAUGGGCGCAAGCCUGAUGCAGCCAUGCCGCGUGUAUGAAGAAGGCCUUCGGGUUGUAAAGUACUUUCAGCGGGGAGGAAGGGAGUAAAGUUAAUACCUUUGCUCAUUGACGUUACCCGCAGAAGAAGCACCGGCUAACUCCGUGCCAGCAGCCGCGGUAAUACGGAGGGUGCAAGCGUUAAUCGGAAUUACUGGGCGUAAAGCGCACGCAGGCGGUUUGUUAAGUCAGAUGUGAAAUCCCCGGGCUCAACCUGGGAACUGCAUCUGAUACUGGCAAGCUUGAGUCUCGUAGAGGGGGGUAGAAUUCCAGGUGUAGCGGUGAAAUGCGUAGAGAUCUGGAGGAAUA